CUGGGAAGAAUAAAGCGACCCUGCGAGGCGAGGCAUUGUUGGCCGAGGGGACAAAUGCUAAUUUCUCCUUCCCUCCACCGAACGCCCGAGCGAGAAAUGCAAAUACCUCUGGCAGAGGGCUGCAGAUAAAAGUCUGGGUGUCUGCAUGCGCGCACGCAGAUGGGUUUGAGUGCCGCGAUAAGCUGGCAAACAAGCCGCUCGAUCCCCAGCGCCGUGGGGCAACGGGGGGGCGCCGUGGGGCACAUCGGGGCGCUGCGGAGGUCCCGUGGGAUGCGGGAGGAGCGUGGAUUCCCCGCGGCUUCUCACCCCGCUCCCCAUCCCCGCCGUCCCAGCGGCUCCCGAUGGGGAGGAUGGGGGUGUCGGAGCCACCCCUCGCCCCGGGCAGGGCACAACAGGUGACCGCAGCCUCCCUCCCUCCCCCGGCUCAUCCCGCGCCUCCGACCAAUGUGACUCGCAUGUGUAAUUCAUUUUUAAAAGGGGCUUCUCGCUUCCCUCCCUCCCCGCUGCCUGCUGGAUUUUCCAAGCAGAGGGAAGGGGAGAGGGGUAUGAAUAAAAUAUCACCGUGACAGCUUUUAU
rnacentral:lncRNA from 1 species